UGCAGCCACUCGGCACACUGAAGUACAUGCGUGGGCAGAGUCACAACACAGAUGCUCACCCGCACACAGAGGCAUGUGCACCAGCUCCCUGCACACUCGUGCCUGGCGUGCUCAGAGGACCACCCAUGCUGCUCAGGGAGACAGGGCUUGCUCACUAAUGUCCGGCUGUCAUUUCUCCACCUAAGAGCCUUCCAUGGCUCCCUACUGCCUACAGCAUUGAAUCCCAAAAAGUCAUACUCUUUGGACUUUGAAGGUUCUCCACCCGGUGCCCCACCCUCCCCACAGAGCUCUUCCUCAUUCUGUCUCUGUUCCCUGCUUUGGCCAGUGGCUAUCCUCAAUGUGACCCACACUACACUUCUGCCCACACUGCAGCUCUUUACCCAGUUACCCUCCAGUUCCUCACAACGUAUGCCUAUCUCAGUCAUGCCCCGGACUGCAUUGAAGCCAGACUGCCCUUUUCCCCAAGGCAGGGUCAUGAUUUGCCAAAGGUUUCGUGUGUGUUAGCAAGACUGGAGUCGGAGCAGGCAUCAAACUUUGCAUCCCAUAUGUCACACCUCACCAUAGACCUGGGUGCCAAAUAGCCUGAAGAGUCUGAACUC
rnacentral:lncRNA from 1 species